UCCGUAGGUGAACCUGCGGAAGGAUCAUUAGUGAUUGCCUUCUAGGCUUAAACUAUAUCCACAUACACCUGUGAACUGUUCUACCACUUGACGCAAGUCGAGUGUUUUUACAAACAAUGUGUAAUGAACGUCGUUUUAUUAUAACAAAAUAAAACUUUCAACAACGGAUCUCUUGGCUCUCGCAUCGAUGAAGAACGCAGCGAAUUGCGAUAAGUAAUGUGAAUUGCAGAAUUCAGUGAAUCAUCGAAUCUUUGAACGCAGCUUGCGCUCUCUGGUAUUCCGGAGAGCAUGCCUGUUUCAGUGUCAUGAAAUCUCAACCACUAGGGUUUCCUAAUGGAUUGGAUUUGGGCGUUGCGAUCUCUGAUCGCUCGCCUUAAAAGAGUUAGCAAGUUUGACAUUAAUGUCUGGUGUAAUAAGUUUCACUGGUUCCAUUGUGUUGAAGCGUGCUUCUAAUCGUCCGCAAGGACAAUUACUUUGACUCUGGCCUGAAAUCAGGUAGGACUACCCGCUGAACUUAAGCAUAUCAAUAAGCGGAGGA
rnacentral:rRNA from 1 species